rnacentral:misc_RNA from 1 species
AAGAUCAGCAGCGUCGAGAGCCACCUCCAUUUGUUUAAGUCGAGCCUGGAUCUCACCCACCUUCGUCAUGCUAUCAAGCACUUCUCUCUGCAGAGCUGCAAAUUUGGGAGGCACAUCAGCAGCACAUGAUGCACCAGGAAUGUCCUUAACUAUUGAUUUCCAAGCAUUUAGUUCAUCCUCUAACUUCUCCAUAUCUCCUUGAAGCACUGCUAGUUUUAGUAGCUCCGACUCUGCCCUCUCUCUCCGGCCUUUUUCCUCAAGUAUCGUUAUCUUCAAUAACUCAAUGUUUUCAUGAGACGAUUUCAGCUUUCUUGCUUCACGCACUUCAGCCUCAUAGCUUCUAAGUUCCUCCUGCAAAU